CGUGUAGGCGGUUGGCCAAGUCCGAUGUGAAAGCCCGAGGCUCAGCCUCGGAAGUGCAUCGGAAACUAGCCGGCUGGAGCGCGAUAGAGGAGGGUGGAAUUCCUGGUGUAGCGGUGAAAUGCGUAGAUAUCAGGAGGAACACCGGCGGCGAAGGCGGCCCUCUGGAUCGUUGCUGACGCUGAGACGCGAAAGCGUGGGGAGCAAACAGGAUUAGAUACCCUGGUAGUCCACGCUGUAAACGAUGGGUACUAGGUGUUCGGGGUAUUGACCCCCCUGAGUGCCGCAGUUAACGCAUUAAGUACCCCGCCUGGGGACUACGGCCGCAAGGUUAA
rnacentral:rRNA from 1 species